rnacentral:rRNA from 1 species
CCGAAAGGAAAUUUGUUAGACACGGUUUUUGCGUCUGAUGCAUCACCUGUGUGGAGAGGGAUAGAGUUCGGACUUGAACUAUUAAAGAAAGGUGUUGUGUGGAGAGUUGGCGAUGGAAAAAGCAUCCAAUUUCUCAGAGAUAAUUGGAUCCCAAGGCAAUCAGGACUCAUGGUUAAAUCACUCAAAAGUCGCAGCCGUUUCAGAUGGGUUAGUCAAUUAAUUUUGCCGCAAACAAGAGAAUGGAAUAUUCCCCUUAUUGAACAGCUAUUCCAUAGCUUUGACGCUGAGGAAAUCUGCAAGAUAAAUCUCCCAGUCAACGAAACAAUGGAUCACCUUGCGUGGAACUAUGAGAAAAAUGGUAUGUUCACGGUAAGGAGUGCCUAUAAGUUGGGAAUGUUUUUGAAGCAGCAGGAAACAACAGCCGGAUCAUCAAGUAAUGCAAGCACUGGAAGGGAAAAUCUUUGGAAUUUAAUCUGGAAAGCGCAUGUCCCUCACAAAAUCCGUAUUGUGGCCUGGAGAAUCGCCACUGACUCACUCCCCACAAAAGAGAACAAAAGGAAGAGAACACUUGAAGUUGAUAGCACAUGUAAUAUAUGUGGCAGAGAGACGGAGGAUGCCCAACACGCUGUUCUGAAAUGUACCAAAGCUACAGCUCUCCGGGAGGAAAUGAGAGAGCACUGGACCUUACCAAGUGAAACUCUGCUUGUUACUCGGGACCCGGACUGGCUACUUCAU